rnacentral:rRNA from 1 species
GACGUAGGGCGCGAGCGUUUGUCCGGAUUUAUUGGGCGUAAAGAGCUCGUAGGCGGCUUGUUGCGUCGACUGUGAAAACCCGCGGCUUAACUGCGGGCUUGCAGUUGAUACGGGCAGGCUAGAGUUCGGUAGGGGAGACUGGAAUUCCUGGUGUAGCGGUGAAAUGCGCAGAUAUCAGGAGGAACACCGGUGGCGAAGGCGGGUCUCUGGGCCGAUGACUGACGCUGAGGAGCGAAAGCGUGGGGAGCGAACAGG